GGGUUGUGAGGUUAAGCGACUAAGCGUACACGGUGGAUGCCCUGGCAGUCAGAGGCGAUGAAGGACGUGCUAAUCUGCGAUAAGCGUCGGUAAGGUGAUAUGAACCGUUAUAACCGGCGAUUUCCGAAUGGGGAAACCCAGUGUGAUUCGUCACACUAUCAUUAACUGAAUCCAUAGGUUAAUGAGGCGAACCGGGGGAACUGAAACAUCUAAGUACCCCGAGGAAAAGAAAUCAACCGAGAUUCCCCCAGUAGCGGCGAGCGAACGGGGAGCAGCCCAGAGCCUGAAUCAGUGUGUGUGUUAGUGGAAGCGUCUGGAAAGGCGUGCGAUACAGGGUGACAGCCCCGUACACAAAAAUGCACAUACUGUGAGCUCGAUGAGUAGGGCGGGACACGUGGUAUCCUGUCUGAAUAUGGGGGGACCAUCCUCCAAGGCUAAAUACUCCUGACUGACCGAUAGUGAACCAGUACCGUGAGGGAAAGGCGAAAAGAACCCCGGCGAGGGGAGUGAAAAAGAACCUGAAACCGUGUACGUACAAGCAGUGGGAGCACGCUUAGGCGUGUGACUGCGUACCUUUUGUAUAAUGGGUCAGCGACUUAUAUUCUGUAGCAAGGUUAACCGAAUAGGGGAGCCGAAGGGAAACCGAGUCUUAACUGGGCGUUAAGUUGCAGGGUAUAGACCCGAAACCCGGUGAUCUAGCCAUGGGCAGGUUGAAGGUUGGGUAACACUAACUGGAGGACCGAACCGACUAAUGUUGAAAAAUUAGCGGAUGACUUGUGGCUGGGGGUGAAAGGCCAAUCAAACCGGGAGAUAGCUGGUUCUCCCCGAAAGCUAUUUAGGUAGCGCCUCGUGAAUUCAUCUCCGGGGGUAGAGCACUGUUUCGGCAAGGGGGUCAUCCCGACUUACCAACCCGAUGCAAACUGCGAAUACCGGAGAAUGUUAUCACGGGAGACACACGGCGGGUGCUAACGUCCGUCGUGAAGAGGGAAACAACCCAGACCGCCAGCUAAGGUCCCAAAGUCAUGGUUAAGUGGGAAACGAUGUGGGAAGGCCCAGACAGCCAGGAUGUUGGCUUAGAAGCAGCCAUCAUUUAAAGAAAGCGUAAUAGCUCACUGGUCGAGUCGGCCUGCGCGGAAGAUGUAACGGGGCUAAACCAUGCACCGAAGCUGCGGCAGCGACGCUUAUGCGUUGUUGGGUAGGGGAGCGUUCUGUAAGCCUGCGAAGGUGUGCUGUGAGGCAUGCUGGAGGUAUCAGAAGUGCGAAUGCUGACAUAAGUAACGAUAAAGCGGGUGAAAAGCCCGCUCGCCGGAAGACCAAGGGUUCCUGUCCAACGUUAAUCGGGGCAGGGUGAGUCGACCCCUAAGGCGAGGCCGAAAGGCGUAGUCGAUGGGAAACAGGUUAAUAUUCCUGUACUUGGUGUUACUGCGAAGGGGGGACGGAGAAGGCUAUGUUGGCCGGGCGACGGUUGUCCCGGUUUAAGCGUGUAGGCUGGUUUUCCAGGCAAAUCCGGAAAACUAAGGCUGAGGCGUGAUGACGAGGCACUACGGUGCUGAAGCAACAAAUGCCCUGCUUCCAGGAAAAGCCUCUAAGCAUCAGGUAACAUCAAAUCGUACCCCAAACCGACACAGGUGGUCAGGUAGAGAAUACCAAGGCGCUUGAGAGAACUCGGGUGAAGGAACUAGGCAAAAUGGUGCCGUAACUUCGGGAGAAGGCACGCUGAUAUGUAGGUGAAGUCCCUCGCGGAUGGAGCUGAAAUCAGUCGAAGAUACCAGCUGGCUGCAACUGUUUAUUAAAAACACAGCACUGUGCAAACACGAAAGUGGACGUAUACGGUGUGACGCCUGCCCGGUGCCGGAAGGUUAAUUGAUGGGGUCAGCGCAAGCGAAGCUCUUGAUCGAAGCCCCGGUAAACGGCGGCCGUAACUAUAACGGUCCUAAGGUAGCGAAAUUCCUUGUCGGGUAAGUUCCGACCUGCACGAAUGGCGUAAUGAUGGCCAGGCUGUCUCCACCCGAGACUCAGUGAAAUUGAACUCGCUGUGAAGAUGCAGUGUACCCGCGGCAAGACGGAAAGACCCCGUGAACCUUUACUAUAGCUUGACACUGAACAUUGAGCCUUGAUGUGUAGGAUAGGUGGGAGGCUUUGAAGUGUGGACGCCAGUCUGCAUGGAGCCGACCUUGAAAUACCACCCUUUAAUGUUUGAUGUUCUAACGUUGACCCGUGAUCCGGGUUGCGGACAGUGUCUGGUGGGUAGUUUGACUGGGGCGGUCUCCUCCUAAAGAGUAACGGAGGAGCACGAAGGUUGGCUAAUCCUGGUCGGACAUCAGGAGGUUAGUGCAAUGGCAUAAGCCAGCUUGACUGCGAGCGUGACGGCGCGAGCAGGUGCGAAAGCAGGUCAUAGUGAUCCGGUGGUUCUGAAUGGAAGGGCCAUCGCUCAACGGAUAAAAGGUACUCCGGGGAUAACAGGCUGAUACCGCCCAAGAGUUCAUAUCGACGGCGGUGUUUGGCACCUCGAUGUCGGCUCAUCACAUCCUGGGGCUGAAGUAGGUCCCAAGGGUAUGGCUGUUCGCCAUUUAAAGUGGUACGCGAGCUGGGUUUAGAACGUCGUGAGACAGUUCGGUCCCUAUCUGCCGUGGGCGCUGGAGAACUGAGGGGGGCUGCUCCUAGUACGAGAGGACCGGAGUGGACGCAUCACUGGUGUUCGGGUUGUCAUGCCAAUGGCACUGCCCGGUAGCUAAAUGCGGAAGAGAUAAGUGCUGAAAGCAUCUAAGCACGAAACUUGCCCCGAGAUGAGUUCUCCCUGACUCCUUGAGAGUCCUGAAGGAACGUUGAAGACGACGACGUUGAUAGGCCGGAUGUGUAAGCGCAGCGAUGCGUUGAGCUAACCGGUACUAAUGAACCGUGAGGCUUAACCUUACAACGCCGAAGGUGUUU
rnacentral:rRNA from 1 species